rnacentral:rRNA from 1 species
AGUGAACGCUGGCGGCGUGCCUAAUACAUGCAAGUCGAACGAAGUGGCGCACGGGUGAGUAAUAUAUAGUUAAUCUGCCCUACACAGAGGAACAACAGUUGGAAACGACUGCUAAUACCUCAUAGUGUAGGAUGAGACUAUAUCGUAUCAGCGAGUUGGUAAGGUAAUGGCUGACCAAGGCUAUGACGCGUAACUGGUCUGAGAGGAUGAUCAGUCACAUUAGAAGGGAGACACGGUCCAAGCACCUUCGGGAAUGAGCGGUAGGGUAUAUUGCGCAAUGGGCGAAUCCCUAACGCGGCAUCGCCGCGUGGAGGAUGUCACUUUUCGGAGCGUAAACUCCUUUUAUCAGGAAAGCGGUACCUGAUGAAUAAGCACCGGCUAACUCCGUGCCAGCAGCCGCGGUAAUAG